GUGGGGAAUUUUGGACAAUGGGCGCAAGCCUGAUCCAGCAAUGCCGCGUGCAGGAAGAAGGCCUUCGGGUUGUAAACUGCUUUUGUACGGAACGAAACGGUCCGGGUUAAUACCCUGGGCUAAUGACGGUACCGUAAGAAUAAGCACCGGCUAACUACGUGCCAGCAGCCGCGGUAAUACGUAGGGUGCAAGCGUUAAUCGGAAUUACUGGGCGUAAAGCGUGCGCAGGCGGUGUUGUAAGACAGGCGUGAAAUCCCCGGGCUCAACCUGGGAAUUGCGCUUGUGACUGCAAGGCUGGAGUGCGGCAGAGGGGGAUGGAAUUCCGCGUGUAGCAGUGAAAUGCGUAGAUAUGCGGAGGAACACCGAUGGCGAAGGCAAUCCCCUGGGCCUGCACUGACGCUCAUGCACGAAAGCGUGGGGAGCAAACAGGAUUAGAAACCCCUGUAGUCC
rnacentral:rRNA from 1 species